rnacentral:tRNA from 1 species
GAGGGUAUAGCUCAAGUGGUAGAGUACAUGCUUAGCAUACAAAAGAUCCUGGGUUCAAUCCCCAGUAUCUCCU